GGCUCCAUAGUGUAGUGGUUAGCAUGUCUGCUUUACAUGCAGAAGGUCCUGGGUUUGCACCCCAGGUGGAGCCA
rnacentral:tRNA from 1 species